UUGAAGUGUUCUUCUUCUUCUCUUAUUCCCAAAUCCUAAUUUUGCUUGAACCUUUGACUUCUACUGUAGCACUUCUUCGAUUUCAGGUACAAAGGCAUUUUUACGCUGGUUGUUAAAGAGUAAACAGGAUUUUUAUGCUGAUUUUGAGUGUUUUUCACCGCCUCAAUUUGUUAACUUACAGGAAUGGAACAAAAUAGAGAUAAUGUGUCUAUCGAAGAAAGAACUUUUGACAGAAAUUUGCGUCGUCGUACUAGAUAUGCACAGAUGUCAUCAGAGAGAAAGGAAUUAUUAUUAUCCCAGCUAAGAGAAAAAAGGGCUACAUCGAAAAGACAAAAACUCCUUCAUCAAUCAAAUAGUACUGCCGCUCUUACAAUCAGCACUUCUUCGUUAUCUCCUCAACAAGUUGAAGCUUCCAAAGCUACAAACCUACCAGUUACUUCAAUUAGAGGAGAACGUAUAGUUAAUUUCUUAUCUACCUUCGAAGUAGGAUCAACAUCGACUGCAUCUCAUGCUGCAACUAAAUUAAAUUCAAGAUGUAAUGCAAAUAGAGGUAUGCUUCUUUCUACCAAAGUAAUAAAAAAACAUGCAU